rnacentral:rRNA from 1 species
UGGGGAAUUUUGGACAAUGGGCGCAAGCCUGAUCCAGCAAUGCCGCGUGCCGGAUGAAGGCCCUCAGGGUUGUAAACGGCUUUUAUUUGGGAAGAAGAGUACGGAUGCGUCUGUGUGUGACGGUACCGAAUGAAUAAGCACCGGCUAACUCCGUGCCAGCAGCCGCGGUAAUACGGAGGAUCCAAGCGUUAUCCGGAAUCAUUGGGUUUAAAGGGUCCGUAGGCGGUUUAAUAAGUCAGUGGUGAAAGCCCAUCGCUCAACGAUGGAACGGCCAUUGAUACUGUUAGACUUGAAUUACAAGGAAGUAACUAGAAUAUGUAGUGUAGCGGUGAAAUGCUUAGAUAUUACAUGGAAUACCAAUUGCGAAGGCAGGUUACUACUUGUGGAUUGACGCUGAUGGACGAAAGCGUGGGGAGCGAACA